rnacentral:rRNA from 1 species
CCCUUAGAUGUUCUGGGCCGCACACGCGCUACACUGAAGGAGGCAGCGUGUACUCCUGGAUCGAAAGAUUUGGGUAACCCGCGAAUCUCCUUCGUGCUAGGGAUUGAGGUUUGCAAUUAUCCUUCAUGAACGAGGAAUUCCCAGUAAGUGCAAGUCAUAAGCUUGCGCUGACUACGUCCCUGCCCUUUGUACACACCGCCCGUCGCUACUACUGAUUGAAUGAUUUAGUGAGGACUUCGGACUGGGACCGAUGCGGCUUUCGGGCUGCGUCGGUAUUCUGGAAAGAUGUCCAAACUGUAUCAUUUAGAGGAAGUAAAAGUCGUAACA